rnacentral:rRNA from 1 species
CAGUCGCCGCGGUAAUACAGAGGGUGCGAGCGUUAAUCGGAUUUACUGGGCGUAAAGCGUGCGUAGGCGGCUUCUUAAGUCGGAUGUGAAAUCCCUGAGCUUAACUUAGGAAUUGCAUUCGAUACUGGGAAGCUAGAGUAUGGGAGAGGAUGGUAGAAUUCCAGGUGUAGCGGUGAAAUGCGUAGAGAUCUGGAGGAAUACCGAUGGCGAAGGCAGCCAUCUGGCCUAAUACUGACGCUGAGGUACGAAAGCAUGGGGAGCAAACAGGAUUAGAUACCCUGUAGUCCCUGUCUCUUAUACA